rnacentral:rRNA from 1 species
GAUGAACGCUAGCGGCAGGCCUAAUACAUGCAAGUCGAACGGUGGCAGCAAUGUCAUAGUGGCGCACGGGUGCGUAACACGUAACUAACCUACCUAUAACUGGGGGAUAGCCCGCCGAAAGGCGGAUUAAUACCGCAUAAGCUAGUUGACCGGCAUCAGUUGAUUAGUAAAGAUUUAUUGGUUAUAGAUGGGGUUGCGGGUCAUUAGCUAGUUGGUAAGGUAACGGCUUACCAAGGCGACGAUGACUAGGGGAGCUGAGAGGCUGGUCCCCCACACGGGCACUGAGAUACGGGCCCGACUCCUACGGGAGGCAGCAGUAGGGAAUAUUGGGCAAUGGGCGAGAGCCUGACCCAGCCAUGCCGCGUGCAGGAAGAAGGCUUUCUGAGUCGUAAACUGCUUUUGACAGGGAAGAAUAAGCACUACGUGUAGUGUGAUGACGGUACCUGCAGAAUAAGCACCGGCUAACUCCGUGCCAGCAGCCGCGGUAAUACGGAGGGUGCGAGCGUUGUCCGGAUUUAUUGGGUUUAAAGGGUGCGUAGGCGGCCGUUUAAGUCUGGGGUGAAAGCCCGCUGCUCAACAGCGGAACUGCCCUGGAUACUGGACGGCUUGAGUACAGACGAGGUUGGCGGAAUGGACUGA